AUGGUUAAAUCGCGCGAAAAGGCGAAAACCGAGAAUGGAGUGUGAUUCUGACCCAACAAGUUCAGAGACUUGUUUUAUAUGGGGUUAAUGGUUCACACUCUGGAUUUUGGGGUUCAAAUAAUAUAAUUUGACCCGUAUCGGCUAAAUUAUGAAAACUAGUUUCAUAAGCCGAACCGUGCGCGCAAUAGGCAAAACGGUUAACCAUGAGAGUCGUACGCUUAUUUCCUAAGUCAAUAUGCCUUAAAUGGGUUGUGGUAUCAGUAGGAUACCUUCCGUGACGCCCGUAACGAGUUCAAUUUAUAUUAUGCCCCGUAGGGGCUUUUCGGUCAUUUUAAAGACUUUUAAAAGGGAUUUUCGAGUUCUACAGGGAAUCUGAGUUUCCCGAACAGCUUAUAAAGCUUAAAAUACUUUAUUUAUUAUUUAAAACCAGUGGCAAUUGGAUUCGGGUCAAAAGACCUUGUAGAACUCCCGUUUUGGCCAAAAAGGGCAUAUUCGGUAUUUACCGAACCGUAGCCAUAACCGCAGGUUAUGAGCAAGGUAAAAAUUAUUAAAAAUCUUUAAAAUUCCCAAAAUAUUAUUUUACCACAGUGGGUAAAAGUUUUGGUGACGAAAACUUGGUUUAGAUGGGCGUUAUGCUAAUUGCGCCGUUAAUUACAAAAUUUUCUUAAAAGUGCGCCUUUUAGCAUAACUCUCAUUCUAGACCUCGGAUUGACGUGAAACUUUAG
rnacentral:lncRNA from 1 species